rnacentral:lncRNA from 1 species
GAUUAAAAAUCAGACCACCUGUCUCUUGAGCCUGUGUUCUCAGCCAUGUCUGUAUGUAAUGAUGUUUUACUAAUUUGGACAAAUGACAGUCCCCACCCUACCAUUAUACAGCAGGGGUGGAGUUCAUGAGUUCAAUUAGUUUGUUGAUGGCAAGUAAAGAUGCUACAUUAUCUGGUUGUAUCUAGAUGUUUUAUCUCCCAGACCACUGAGCAGCCACAGUUCCCAAAGGAGUAGCAAUUGGUCUGGGAGAGAGGGUUAAGAAGAGAGAGGAAAAAUUAAUUUCUCUUUCUCCUACAUUGUUUCUCUGAGUCCCAGGACAUGAUUGGUUAAGUGCCAACAGGAGUCAUGAUGACUCACAAUGCAGCUGAGAACCCUGUUACCAUUUGCAAUGACAAGAACUAAACACUAGCCACUACCACCAGGGUUACUCCUGGUUCAGGGCUGAAUACAGUGAGUAAGUGGGAGGUGCUGGCAGAGGGGGUAGAUAUUACUUUGUAAUAUCUGUUCCCUAGACACUCAGUUAUCUUGGCCUCAGAGCUAUUCCCUGGCUCAUGCAAAAUCUGUUAACAGGCCAAGAACACUGUUAAAAUAUUUUGGUAACUUCUGUGGGAGGAGUUACCAAAAUCUGUUAACAGUAUUCAUUGCAUUUCCACAGGUCCACUGGGCAAUGAUCAGCAAUUCUGACUUCAAGAUCCAAUCACCCAGUGAAAGCUACAAGAGAACUCAGUACAAGAUAAAUGGGAAUGACAGUUGCACCCACCUCAAGGUGUUAUGAGGCUAGAUGAGUUUCUGCAUGUCAAGCCCUCAGAGAAGUGCCUGGCAAGCAGACAGUGCUCAGCUGAGGAGGGCUUUCUUGGUUGUGCUGUCUUUCUGAGGCAACGUGGAGUCUACCAGUCACGGACAAAGGACUCUCUGAAGUCAGUCCCAGCACAC